rnacentral:snRNA from 14 species
AUACUUACCAUGCCGCGCCGGCGGGGAUACCGUGAUCAAGAAGGCGGUGGCCUCCCAGACGGAGGCACCUGUACAUUGCCACUCGCACCCGUAUCGUGGCUGACUCCUGCGACUACCGCCAAAUCGGAGGUUGGGCUCGAAGAGCGCAUAAUUUUUGGGUAGUGGGGACAGAAAGCGUUCGCGCUGUCCUUUC